CCGAAGUGUGAUAAUUGUAAUGGUAUAAAUCCAAAAAACACUUUUAUCAAUGGACAUUUAGUUGUUUGUUCGUUAUUUUUAUCUGCUUACAGUGAUAGUGCUAGGUUUUGCUGUUAACUUUACAGCUUUAUGAUUGAAUAGAAAAAGAGGGGAGACAAGCUUUGCGUAUAUAUAUUAGUAAUAUGCAUGACAAAUCUUGAAAUUGUAGGUACAGAACCUAAUAUUUGAAGCAUUUUAGGUACUGGAUGACCGUCCUACUAUGUAUAUGUUGUGACUGGAUAUGGAGAUGAAUGGAGGUGUAGCAGCUACUGUAUAACUGUCGAAGGGCUUGUAGGAAGUAUAGUAAUUACUAAACUUCUAUUUCCUAUAUGUUAGUUGCAUGCCAGGGUCUGCCUGCUGUAUUUAGAAUGUUAGUUGCAUACCAAGGUCUGACUGGUGUAUUUUGAAUGUAGCUUGAAUGAUUUUUUUAGUUUGUAGCUUGAGAUUUGACCAUUGAACUAUCCAAUGUAUGAACUCGAAUGAUUUAUGUAUCAGACAAUUGAGCCUAACAUUUAAGGC